GAUGAACGCUGGCGGCGUGCCUAAUACAUGCAAGUCGAGCGAACGGACGAGAAGCUUGCUUUUCUGAUGUUAGCGGCGGACGGGUGAGUAACACGUGGAUAACCUACCUAUAAGACUGGGAUAACUUCGGGAAACCGGAGCUAAUACCGGAUAAUAUUUUGAACCGCAUGGUUCAAAGUGAAAGACGGUCUUGCUGUCACUUAUAGAUGGAUCCGCGCUGCAUUAGCUAGUUGGUAAGGUAACGGCUUACCAAGGCAACGAUGCAUAGCCGACCUGAGAGGGUGAUCGGCCACACUGGAACUGAGACACGGUCCAGACUCCUACGGGAGGCAGCAGUAGGGAAUCUUCCGCAAUGGGCGAAAGCCUGACGGAGCAACGCCGCGUGAGUGAUGAAGGUCUUCGGAUCGUAAAACUCUGUUAUUAGGGAAGAACAUAUGUGUAAGUAACUGUGCACAUCUUGACGGUACCUAAUCAGAAAGCCACGGCUAACUACGUG
rnacentral:rRNA from 1 species